GUAGUCUCGCACAGAUGCAUAUCAAUAAGCGGAGGAAAAGAAACUAACAAGGAUUCCCUCAGUAACGGCGAGUGAAGCGGGAAGAGCUCAAAUUUGAAAUCUUGAAAGGUCACCUUCGACGAAUUGUAGUUUAAAGAAGUGUUUUCUGUUGACGAUCGUAUAUAAGUUCUUUGGAAUAGGACAUCACUAGAGGGUGAGAAUCCCGUAUUUGACCAUUAUUUUCAGCUGUGUGAUACACUUUCAAAGAGUCGGAUUGUUUGGGAAUGCAGUCCAAAAUGGGUGGUAAAUUUCAUCUAAAGCUAAAUAUUGGCGAGAGACCGAUAGCGAACAAGUACCGUGAGGGAAAGAUGAAAAGAACUUUGAAAAGAGAGUUAAACAGUACGUGAAAUUGUCAAAAGGGAAGCGUUUGACACCAGUGUUGUUUUCUCGAAAAUCAAUUAAAAAGAGUUAGAUUUUGUUGUGUAUUGACCUUAACAGCUUGCAUUUCAAUUUUCUUGCUUUUUUUAAUGCACUUUUCGUUUAACAAGUCAACAUCAGUUUCUUUUGUUGUAAAAAGGUCAUUGGAAGGUGGCUUUCUUUUCGGAGAAAGUGUUUAUAGCCUUUGACUCCUGCAAUCGGAGAGACUGAGGUCUGCAGCGUAGAUCCUUCGGGGUUAGAUACAUUUGUGCUAAGUUAUAGCUUUUUAUAGACAACUUGUUGACUAUGAUUAGUCUUGUAGCUUACUCGCUUAUGCUAUUUUACCUACGCUUAGGAUGUUGAAGAUGUAGCACAUCAU
rnacentral:rRNA from 1 species